UACGAGGGGUGCAAGCGUUGCUCGGAAUUAUUGGGCGUAAAGGGUAGGUAGGUGGUCUCGUUUGUCUGGGGUGAAAUCCUUGAGCUUAACUCAAGAAGUGCCCCCAGAAACGGCGAGACUUGAGUACUGGAGAGGGUCGUGGAAUUCCCGGUGUAGCGGUGAAAUGCGUAGAGAUCGGGAGGAACACCAGCGGCGAAGGCGGCGACCUGGGUCGUGACUGACGCUGGAGACGCGAAAGCGUGGGGAGCAAACAGG
rnacentral:rRNA from 1 species